rnacentral:sRNA from 2 species
CGUCGCUGCCCUUACGGGCGUUUCCUCCCUAGACUCAAGACCGCGCUGCCUCGUCAGUGCGGUUUUUUUUGACCCCUA